UACGGAGGGUGCAAGCGUUAAUCGGAAUUACUGGGCGUAAAGCGCGCGCAGGCGGCGUGAUCAGCCGGUUGUGAAAGCCCCGGGCUCAACCUGGGAACGGCAUCCGGAACUGUCACGCUAGAGUGCAGGAGAGGAAGGUAGAAUUCCCGGUGUAGCGGUGAAAUGCGUAGAGAUCGGGAGGAAUACCAGUGGCGAAGGCGGCCUUCUGGACUGACACUGACGCUGAGGUGCGAAAGCAUGGGUAGCAAACAGG
rnacentral:rRNA from 1 species